CAUUCUCCACGGGUUCUUUAAGGGACCCCGUGUGAAACAUUCUCCACGGGUUCUUUAAGGGACCCAGUGUGAAACGUUCUCCACGGGUUCAUUAAGGGCCCCCGUGUGAAACAUUCUCCAUGGGUUCUUUAAGGGACCCCGUGUGAAACAUUCUCCACGGGUUCUUUAAGGGACCCAGUGUGAAACGUUCUCCACAGGUUCUUUAAGGGAACCUGUGUGAAAUGUUCUCCACGGGUUCUUUAAGGGACCCCGUGUGAAACAUUCUCCACGGGUUCUUUAAGGGACCCCGUGUGAA